UCCCACGGCGAUGGUCUUGCAAAUGCCUUGUUGUUUAAUGGUGUAUGAUUUAUUUUUAAUUCUAGGGAUCUCCUGGCUAUCCAGGACCAGUGGGACCAAAAGGAGACAGAGGCGAACCAGGCUAUGUCCUGGGAGGAGUGGAGGUGAUUCCUGGUCGGAACGGGCAACCUGGCCCUCCCGGACAGAAAGGGCAGCCGGGGGUUCCCGGGGUAGCGGGACCACCAGGUUUACCAGGGCCACGAGGACCACCAGGGAUGUCCACCAAGGGUGA
rnacentral:lncRNA from 1 species